rnacentral:lncRNA from 1 species
CUUGCUGCCACCAUGUAAGAAGCGCCUUUCGCCCACUGCCAUGAUUAUGAGAUCUCCCCAGCCAUGUGGAACUGCUUCUACACAUCCUGUGAAGACAUCUACACAGACCAAAAGGUAUUUUUACCUGCAGAAUGUGGGGAGCUGAAUGGAGUCCAUCUGCCACUCCUCCCCAGGAUCAUCUUUUAAGUUCUUCAUCACAGACUCCAUUCCUGAUGCUGUCUUUUGCAACACAUCGCAAGCCACUUGCAUUUUUUCCCUCUCUGGAAGGAUCAAUGGACUGGGAAAGUAUAAACCAAGAAGUCACUCUGUUUUGGUCACUAAACCAGGCUGAUUUUUCAAAAACUUAAAGGUCGUGGAAAAGAAAUAGAAUGGAAGUUUCAUGAAGUCAUGUUUUGUUG